rnacentral:misc_RNA from 1 species
GGAUUUCAAUGUGGGGUAUAUAUGAACCUGGGCUCUUCAACCUCAAUAACUAACUUUUGGGAUGUGAUUCUCCUAAGUUCAUAUCAAGGGUAUUAAAGCCGUCCACUAUGACUCUCAUUUGCAAUUGUGCGGCGCAAGUGGUGACGCUAGAAUAGCAAUAUUCGCCUGAAGCUAGAUUAAGCUAGUGCAAAGCUAGCCGGCGUGGGUGUAGGGGCUGUAGAGUAGGGGUGAGCAUUCGGUUCAAACUGAACCGAACCGAAUUACUAUAUUUUAGAACUAAACCGAAAUAAAUGAAAAAUUGAAUUGAACCGAACUACUUUAUUUUGGUUCGGUUCAAACUGACUAGUUCUGAAUUUUGAUUGAUUUUUAAUUUAGACUUAAUUUUCA